GGCACUGUGGCGUAAUGGUUAACGCGUCUGGCUUCGACUGCCUUGCUAUACCAUAACCAGAAGACUGCAGGUUCGAGUCCUGUCUGUGUCA